rnacentral:rRNA from 1 species
AUUGAACGCUGGCGGCUGGCCUAACACAUGCAAGUCGAGCGAGCGGCGGACGGGUGAGUAAUUUAUUAGGAUCUGCCCGAUAGAGGGAGAUAACUAGUGGAAACGGUGGCUAAUACCGCUUACUAUCGUAUGGACCCAUAUUGGAUUAGCUAGUAGGUGGGGUAAAGGCUCACCUGGGCGACGAUCUCUAGCUGUUCUGAGAGGAUGAUUGGCCACACUGGGACUGAGACACGGCCCAGACUCCUACGGGAGGCAGCAGUGGGGAAUAUUUCACAAUGGGCGCAAGCCUGAUGAAGCCAGGCCGCGUGUAUGAAGAAGGCCUUAGGGUGGUAAAGUACUUUCAGCGGGGAGGCGGUACCCGCAGAGGAAGCACCGGCUAACUCCGUGCCAGCAGCCGCGGUAAUUC